UACGAAGGGGGCUAGCGUUGUUCGGAAUUACUGGGCGUAAAGCGCACGUAGGCGGAUUUGCCAGUCAGGGGUGAAAUCCCGGGGCUCAACCUCGGAACUGCCUCUGAUACAGCAAGUCUUGAGUCCGGAAGAGGUGGGUGGAAUUCCUAGUGUAGAGGUGAAAUUCGUAGAGAUCCGGAGGAACACCAGUGGCGAAGGCGGCUCGCUGGACCUGACCUGACGCUGAGGCGCGAAGGCGUGGGGAGCGAACGGG
rnacentral:rRNA from 1 species